CUACAACAACCAAAGCAAUAUUAAAGAAAGUUCAUCAAUUACUUCUUUGGUAGCUAACGAAAAUUAGUGUUUCCGCAGGAAGUAAAAACCCAUAACACAAGCUCUUUCUUUUGGUUCGAUGCCCAUUAGCACCCAAUGUGAGAAUCUUCCCUCAUAAGACAGUUUCUUGCUUGUGGAAGUUGGCUAUAACAAAACGCGCAAAUAUAAAAAAUUCGGACGCAAAUAUCCAGUGAAGAGAACGAGCGCAGCUGGCCGCCGUCUGAAUAGGUCGAAGGACUAUUUUAGGUGGACGAUGGUAUUAUCCAGCAAAUAUCAAAGUGAUCAACCAUAACCACCUCGAAGGUCGGCAAACAAAUCCUCGGCGUGCUCAGCUGAUGAUUAGACAACAGCAAUCGUUUAUCAACGAAAUGGGGGAUCAAUUCCAGUGGCAUAUACUGGCGAAAUAAGUUGAGAGAUAUCCAGUUUACCAAUAUGCUUUUCUCGCAUACCAUGUUCGAGGCACAAAGAUAAGACGAGAAAGAGGAACGAAGCAUUCGUGCGAGAAAGUGGUCGGUCCGCCGCACGAUGGGCAAAGAGGAGACGCGUGGAUCGGGACUUGCAGAGUCGGUGGGUAUCAACUGGAUGCUUUUCGGGAAUCGGGGUCUUCCAGGCCUCCGGAGAUGCCGACCCAUCACGUGCUCUCGCAUGGCCCUUCACAGGCGUAAAUCCUACUUUCUUUCUAGUCCUAUAGAAGUAGAAAAGAAGAGUCUAUAGUAUACUUUCGUGAACACUUAAGAGCUGGAUUGAAUCAGACCACCCACCCACAAAAUGAUAAUCACGUUUUCUGUCGAA